rnacentral:misc_RNA from 1 species
UCCACGUUCUCGCCGCGCAGG